GCCUUCGUGGUAUAAUGGUCAGCAAACUCGACGCGUAUUCGAGAGGUCCGAGGUUCGAGUCCAGGCGAGGGCA
rnacentral:tRNA from 1 species